rnacentral:siRNA from 1 species
UAAUACGAGUUAUACAAUGGCG